AAUUGGAAGAGUUCUCAUUGGAGACUACUUCCUUCAUCCUCCUAUUUUCCAUACACUUACGAUCUCAUUGUUCACACUGUAUUACUUUUUGCAGAUUAUAGACAUCUGAUUGACACCCAUCAGAAUGUUUUUUUCAAUUUUCAUAAUCCAUUCAAAAAAACAAAAAAAAUGGUACGCGAAAACGGCAUGGAGACAACGACAUUCCCUCAAAACGUGAUUAUAGUGGCUUCUCUAGCAGCGAUAGGGUUUUCAAUUUGGUCACGUUUCAACGAGAGCGCUACGCAUUUCCAGAAAGUGUGGGAGAUGCCUUCGCUAAUACUAAUACUGUCAGUGUUUCUACUAGUAUUUUCAGUUAUGAUAUUGGUUGGACGAUUGCAUUACAUUUAGGAUCUUGGUGCACUUGGUCAAUUAGGGAAUCAUCUGUUUAUUGCUUUUCGUAGUUUUGGUCACCAAUAGAAACGCGAGCAGGGCGUCAUUUGGGAGAGGUGGAAAUUACUCGCACGACUUGUUGAAGAAGCUUGUGGUGCAUGAAGAGUAUUGGCAGCACAUUAAGGGCUGUUAUUUUGCUUACGGAUUUUGUCAGCGUACUCACAAAGGGUUUUAUUCUCAUAUUCAGUCGAAUUGUUGCAAGCCUCCAAGUAACUGUGGCUUUGAGUUUCACAAUGCUACCUACUGGACCAUACCCAAAGCAGGGCCAAUGAUAGCAGACGGUGACUGUAAGAUUUGGAGCAAUGCACAAAAUGAUCUCUGUUUCAAUUGCCAAUCAUGUAGGACAACAUUUCUUGUUCCCUCGUCUUUAUAAUCAUCUUCCUUAGCUUACACUUGCUUUAUUAUGUUGUCUUUGUGUUGCCUGGAGGAAGAACAGAUCAAAGGGAUACCAAUGUCCCAUAGUACACCCUGCAUGAGAGAUGUUGGUCCAUUAGAUUUCCAUUUUCUUAAUGAGUAAUAUUUGUUUGA